rnacentral:rRNA from 1 species
CCCAGAGAAAUUUGGAUUAAUGCCCAUGGCACAGCGAGACCGCAUCGUCUUGCUGUUAAAGUAACAACGGUGGGAAGAUGGGCGCGUCCCCAUUAGCUAGUUGGUAAGGUAACGGCUUACCCAAGGCUAUGAUGGGUAGGGCCUGAGAGGGAGAUCCCCCCACCACUGGUACUGAGACACGGACCCAGACUCCUACGGGGCAGCAGUGAGGAAUAUUGGUCAAUGGUCGCAAGACUGAACCAGCCAUGCCGCGUGCAAUGACGGUCCUAUGGAUUGUAAACUGCUUUUGUACGGGAAGAAACACUCCUACGUGUAGGCUUGACGGUACCGUAAGAAUAAGGAUCGGCUAACUCCGUGCCAGCAGCCGCGGUAACGGAGGAUCCAAGCGUUAUCCGGAAUCAUUGGGUUUAAAGGGUCCGUAGGCGGCCCUGAGUCAGCGGUGAAUACUUCCAGCUCAAACUGGGAAAACUGCCGUUGAUACUGCAGGGCGAAUUGCCGGGAAAGUAACUAGAAUAUGUAGUGUAGCGGUGAAAAUGCUUAGAUAUUA